rnacentral:rRNA from 1 species
AUUGAACGCUGGCGGCAUGCUUUACACAUGCAAGUCGAACGGUAACAGGGAAAAGCUUGCUUUUCUGCUGACGAGUGGCGAACGGGUGAGUAACACAUCGGAACGUGCCCUGUAGUGGGGGAUAACUACUCGAAAGAGUGGCUAAUACCGCAUACAACCUGAGGGUAAAAGUGGGGGACCGCAAGGCCUCACGCUAUAGGAGCGGCCGAUGGAAGAUUAGGUAGUUGGUAGGGUAAAGGCCUACCAAGCCGACGAUCUUUAGCGGGUCUGAGAGGAUGAUCCGCCACACUGGGACUGAGACACGGCCCAGACUCCUACGGGAGGCAGCAGUGGGGAAUUUUGGACAAUGGGGGCAACCCUGAUCCAGCCAUGCCGCGUGUGUGAAGAAGGCCUCGGUUGGUAAGUACGACUUUAAGUCGUAGGAGGAAGGUACGACGU